UUCUGAUCUCAUUCAUUCAUUGACGCUACAAACAAGUGUGUGCUAAUAUCAGGUAAUUUGUGCUCAACCCUGUUUUAAUAGUGACUAUUUUGAUGAAUGUAUUGUAGUUACGAGAGCUGUUUCUUUUUAAGUAAAGACAUUGAUGUCAAGUUGUUUUAUGCUGCACAUGUUUAGAAACCCCGCUUGUAUUACUGGUGAUUGGCGUGGUGACAGUCCACAGAAUUGAUGAAUGUGUAAAUGAAUUAUGUUCAGAGGUCUCUUAAAGGAGCCACCCGUUGGUUUUUAAUUCCUCAUUCUUAGAUCCAGUUAUUUUAAAGUUGUCUUCCAUCCUGAUUUCAUGGCAGCCGCGGGGUCUCCUCCAUGGGUGUGACUGACACUGGUGAGGUGGUGGGUUCUUCUGUGGGUUUUGGUGACGUGUAUUUUCGCUUGAGUGCUGUGAUUGCUGUGCAGUAUUGGAGUUUGAAUUUUAAUUAAUGGUUGUACACUGUCACACCUAUAGUCGUGCCCGGUUGGAGCCCUGUGGUUUGUUGUUAAUGUUUCCUGUUUCUUUUGUUUUUUUUUUUCCAAAUGAGGUCGGUAUUCGUGUUUUAGAUAUUCAUUCUUUUAUGUUAAGAUUGGUCUGUGUGAAUUGUAAUAAAACUGCUUGUAC